UGUGUAUAUGUGUACAUGCACACAGAAAUAGUAAAUGUCCAUAGAUAUAACAAAAAAACUCAUUGAAAAAAUGGAUGUAUAAUUCUCUGCAUCAGAAAAGCUUAUAUACAUUGUAUUGGAAAACAACGUAUAAAGACUUCAGUUUUAUUAUGUUUAGCUAAAGUAACAACAUAUGCUCUGCCUUUGUGUUAAAUUCUCAGGAAUUUAUGGGCAUCACUGCUCAAUUUUCUGUUUUCUCCAACGCAGAGUGAUGGAAGAAAAUGAACACAAAUGAAGUCAUAGUCAUAAACUCAUCAACCAACAUGCACUUGUGAAAAAAGAUUUAUAAACUGAGGUAUUUGCACACAGGCAAGGAAAGCACUUGGUAGCAACUCAAAAUGGUAUGCAGCAUCUUGAGAUCUAUCUCAUAAAAGGUUUAGGAAUCUGAAAAUGCUUUUAUAAUAACUCCACUCAGAAUCUACAUUAAAUAUAUUCUCUUUGUUAUGAGUUACUAAUUCUAAAAAUAUUUUUGAUAAAUUCAAAUGUAUCAGAGGAAAUGUAUUUGCAAGAUGAAUACUGCGAAGUUAUUAAUAUUUACAGGAGGCAUUCUAUCACCUUUACCAAGCUGAAGCAAUACCAUAUUUAGUUGUUGUAAUAAUAAAUGUUCCAUGAAAUAGAGCUAUAUUAUCAUGAGCCAGGCUGUUCUAGCUGACUUGAACAUAGCCAUUGACCUCUAUGCUUGAAGAUUUAUUUCUCCCUAAGUGUCACACAUUUUCUAUAAAGGUAAUCCAUAAUUAGCCUAUCCAAACUGGAAAAAGAGUAAGUACAGCCUGGGAAGGAGCUUCAUGAGAUAAAAUUUUAAAGGAAAAGCACAAAAUAACUAUUCUCAAGGAAGACACAAUUACAACCACAUGGAGAUGAGGACAGUGGUCAUGUAUCUUCUAUUUGUCUUCUUGGAUCCAGUGCAUAUUAUUUGUAUUUACUCAAAAAACGGGAGCUACAGACAGAGGAGCCGCCACCAAAAUAACUAA
rnacentral:lncRNA from 13 species